rnacentral:rRNA from 1 species
UACGUAGGUGGCAAGCGUUGUCCGGAAUUAUUGGGCGUAAAGCGCGCGCAGGUGGUUUCUUAAGUCUGAUGUGAAAGCCCACGGCUCAACCGUGGAGGGUCAUUGGAAACUGGGGAACUUGAGUGCAGGAGAGAAGAGUGGAAUUCCACGUGUAGCGGUGAAAUGCGUAGAGAUGUGGAGGAACACCAGUGGCGAAGGCGGCUUCCUGGACAGUUACUGACGCUGAGACGCGAAAGCGUGGGGAGCAAACAGG